rnacentral:snoRNA from 1 species
ACCCUCUCAGGGUUGGACCUGGAGAUUUUCCAGUACUCUACCAGUUUUGGCUAUGAGAGGGAGAGUCAAGCAGAGGCAUACCUAUUCCAUUCUUAGCUUGGCCAGUGGCUAGUGAGUGGAAGGCAAUCUGCUACAAGU